rnacentral:rRNA from 1 species
GACGAACGCUGGCGGCGCGCCUAACACAUGCAAGUCGAACGGAAAUUAUUAUUGGAAGCUUUCGGGUGGAAGAUAAUAAUUUUAGUGGCGAACGGGUGAGUAACGCGUGAGUAAUCUGCCCUUCAGUGGGGGACAACAGUUGGAAACGACUGAUAAUACCGCAUAAGACCACACUAUGGCAUCAUAGAGUGAUCAAAGGAUUUAUUCGCUGAAGGAUGAGCUCGCGUCUGAUUAGCUAGUUUGUGGGGUAAUGGCCUACCAAGGCAACGAUCAGUAGCCGGACUGAGAGGUUGAUCGGCCACAUUGGGACUGAGACACGGCCCAGACUCCUACGGGAGGCAGCAGUGGUGAAUAUUGCACAAUGGGGGAAACCCUGAUGCAGCGACGCCGCGUGAGGGAAGAAGGUAUUCGUAUUGUAAACCUCUGUCUUCGUGGACGAUAAUGACGGUACACGAGGAGGAAGCACCGGCUAACUACGUGCCAGCCGCCGCCGUAAUAC